rnacentral:rRNA from 1 species
GAUGAACGCUGGCGGCGUGCCUAAUACAUGCAAGUCGAGCGAACAGACGAGGAGCUUGCUCCUCUGACGUUAGCGGCGGACGGGUGAGUAACACGUGGAUAACCUACCUAUAAGACUGGGAUAACUUCGGGAAACCGGAGCUAAUACCGGAUAAUAUAUUGAACCGCAUGGUUCAAUAGUGAAAGACGGUUUUGCUGUCACUUAUAGAUGGAUCCGCGCCGCAUUAGCUAGUUGGUAAGGUAACGGCUUACCAAGGCAACGAUGCGUAGCCGACCUGAGAGGGUGAUCGGCCACACUGGAACUGAGACACGGUCCAGACUCCUACGGGAGGCAGCAGUAGGGAAUCUGCCGCAAUGGGCGAAAGCCUGACGGAGCAACGCCGAGUGAGUGAUGAAGGUCUUCGGAUAGUAAAACUCUGUUAUUAGGGAAGAACAAAUGUGUAAGUAACUAUGCACGUCUUGACGGUACCUAAUCAGAAAGCCACGGCUAACUACGUG